rnacentral:rRNA from 1 species
UACAGAGGGUGCGAGCGUUAAUCGGAAUUACUGGGCGUAAAGCGUGCGCAGGCGGUUGUGCAAGACAGAUGUGAAAUCCCCGGGCUUAACCUGGGAAUUGCAUUUGUGACUGCACGGCUAGAGUGUGUCAGAGGGGGGUAGAAUUCCACGUGUAGCAGUGAAAUGCGUAGAUAUGUGGAGGAAUACCGAUGGCGAAGGCAGCCCCCUGGGAUAACACUGACGCUCAUGCAACGAAAGCGUGGGGAGCAAACAGG